GACGAACGCUGGCGGCGUGCUUAACACAUGCAAGUCGAACGGAAAGGCCCUGCUUUUGUGGGGUGCUCGAGUGGCGAACGGGUGAGUAACACGUGAGUAACCUGCCCUUGACUUUGGGAUAACUUCAGGAAACUGGGGCUAAUACCGGAUAGGAGCUCCUGCUGCAUGGUGGGGGUUGGAAAGUUUCAGCGGUUGGGGAUGGACUCGCGGCUUAUCAGCUGGUUGGUGAGGUAGUGGCUUACCAAGGCUUUGACGGGUAGCCGGCCUGAGAGGGUGACCGGCCACAGUGGGAAUGAGAUACGGCCCAGACUCCUACGGGAGGCAGGAGUAGGGAAGAUUGCACGAUGGGCGGAAGCCGGAUGCAGCAACGCCGCGUGCGGGAUGACGGCCUUCGGGUUGUAGACCGCUUUCGCCUGUGACGAAGCGUGAGUGACGGUAAUGGGUAAAGAAGCACCGGCUAACUACGUG
rnacentral:rRNA from 1 species